UAACACUUAAAUCUUCUUUUAACUGCUUGAUAGUUUAUUCCAACCAUUGGAAAGUUGGCUAUCACAGCAUUUUUUUCACCCUUUCUUUUCUGGUUCAAAUUUUGUGGCAGAAUGGCUAGUCAACCAACGGCCAGUGCUGUUAGACCCAGUACAGUGCCCAUCCGUGGAAAACCUGUCAACCAAAGUAGUAACACUAACACUUGCUGCUCAUCUUGAUUUCUCCCGGGAUACUUUGGAUUCUACGAAUCAGUCAAGCUGAAAGAAAACUAGCCGGUAGAUGCAAGGGGCUGUUACUUGCAUGCCUAUCUUCUAAUGUGUACAGAAACCCCGAGAACAUAUUUCUGAUGCACCGCACGAGCAGACGGUCACAUAGAUUUGUUGGAUUGGAAAUUUUCACAUUAACUUGAUUUCUACACGUACAAUUAUGAUUGUCAUUUUUCUUUCUCACUAGUCCCUUGAGUUACUAUGAUGCCAUUUGCACUUCUAUCUUUUGAAGAUUAUGGACUAGCCUGAAUACAAGGAUCAAUGAGAAUGAACGAAUUCAAUCUCACUAUUGCUUAGUAAUCGGAUUGAAUGAAACUGCG
rnacentral:misc_RNA from 1 species